GUAUGAGGAAGAACUUUUCCAGAACGACUGCAAGCAGACCCACCUGCAGCCACACAAUCCAGUAUCAAACUGCAUGGAGUGUGUUGUUGCAUUCCAGGAAACCUAAGCACCCCAAAGCCUGGCAAAGAGAUGGUGCGGACCAGCAACAAACGGAUUAAUUACACGAAAUGAAGGCCCGGGCGGCCGGAGAAAAGAGGAAAGCUAUUUAAACAUCAAAUGUAUUUACUUUUCGCUUAUUAUUAUUAUAGAGGAGGCAUGGCAUGGAGCACUCACAUACAUCCUCUGAGACCGUCGUAGGGUAUUUCGAAAAAGACAUUCAAGUAAUUAAAUGGUUGAGUUGAACAAAUAAUGACCUGAAUACUUUUCCCAAUCCCUAAAAAGAGAUGUUUUUAACACUCUAUGAUUGUCAAAACUAUAUGGAUUUUCUUUAUAUGUCACUUAAUACAUAAAUUAGUUAUAAACGUUUAAAUCACACCUCCUUCAUAUCUUUUUCUCCCAUGUCAGACUGAUGGCAUUGCCUUGAAAAUGCAGCAGCCGUCUUUCAAAAAUAAGCUUUGUAUUCUUCUCGACUGAGUCCACAAAACUGCCAAAUGCAAGUCUGAAACUAGUUUCCAGUUAUUAAACAGUUUCAAAACCAGAAGGUGUGACCACAUAUCUGUGAGCUGACCUUUCUUUAAGAAGCAAGUUUUGCAUUACCAGGGGGAUGUGCGUGGAGUUCCAACAAGCCCCUGGAAGUCGAGCACAGCCGAGCCUCGGUGCUUUCUCUAAUUUUGAAUGGAAAAAGAGAUGCCAAUCACCUUGAAGGGGAGAGAAGAGGAGGUUAUUCUUAACCCACCUACUUUGGACAUUAAAUGGCCCAGGCCCAGCGUGACCUAAAGAAGGAGAUGCAUGUAGGAAUGGGGGAAGCCUGCAAUGAAUCGAGGCUCCCGAAACAUAAAGCCACAGGAUAGAAAGGGCAGAUUUGUAAGAGAGUCGGUGAAGCAAUCUCCUUGCUUGUGAUGAAAACGAAAGAGCAAGAUGACCCCUCUGUGGGAGUCAGUGAUUGAAGGCUGACUGGAGAACCAGGGCCUCUGCGCCAUGCCGUAGUGACAACAAGGAAAACCAGCCUGGAGGCAUGGGCUCCAGAGACGGUCACGUCACCGGGGGUGUGCAUACACACUCUUGUGGCCAGGUCCUCAUCGCUGAACCCCUAUCUUUUUCCAAGAGCAUCCUCUGGAAACUCAAUCCGCCACCAGGCCCUGUGUCAACUGAUUGAUGCUGGGACGGGUUCCCUUCCAGAUGGCAGAUGUGAGGCUGACAUCACAAUGUUUGGAGUUCAAAACUUCUCCCUGAGUGCCUUUGGCUGCCAAUUUAGGAAAAUCCCAGUGUUGAUGGGGAUGUCUCCUG
rnacentral:lncRNA from 1 species